CGCCGUAGACUGCAGGUCGUGCCGCCCAGUCACGUAAAAGGGGCAAGGCAACAACUGCCAACAACAACGCUCGGGUUCAGCCUCGGCUGGCCCUCGCUGCCUAAGAGAUUUGGCAGCGCGCUCCCCGCAGCUCCCCCGAUGGCUGCGGCUUGAGCGUCGUGAGUCGGGUGCUCCGGUAGCGCUCGCCUAAGCGCGACCGGCUAAGACAAUAGGCUGGCCCCACGGUCGCUCUGCCACUCGCGCGACCACGGGCGAGAUCAAGCGAGGGGCUAAACCUGUAGAUGUCUGCGGUCUAGCUUUCUGGACGGGGG
rnacentral:tmRNA from 1 species